AUUUCGGAAGAAAAGUAAGGACC
rnacentral:miRNA from 1 species